UGGGGAAUUUUCCGCAAUGGGGAAAGCCUGACGGAGCAAUACCGCGUGAGGGAGGAAUGCCUUUGGGUUGUAAACCUCUUUUCUCAGGGAAGAAGAUCUGACGGUACCUGAGGAAUAAGUAUCGGCUAACUCCGUGCCAGCAGCCGCGGUAAUACGGAGGAUGCAAGCGUUAUCCGGAAUCAUUGGGCGUAAAGCGUCCGCAGGUGGUUUCCAAAGUCUGCUGUUAAAGACUGGAGCUCAACUCCGGAACGGCGGUGGAAACUUGGAAACUAGAGUUCGGUAGGGGUAGCAGGAAUUCCCAGUGUAGCGGUGAAAUGCGUAGAUAUUGGGAAGAAUAUCGGUGGCGAAGGCGUGCUAUUGGACCGUAACUGACACUCAGGGACGAAAGCUAGGGGAGCGAAAGGGAUUAGAUACCCCUGUAGUCCUAGCUGUAAACGAUGGAAACUAGGUGUGGCUUGA
rnacentral:rRNA from 1 species